AUGGGGAUCAGAAUCCUGAUUGGUCGAGACCUCAGAGUGGGCGUCAUCAACUGGAUAAAGGGGCGGGACCCAGCUGGGAUGGCCCGCAGGAACAUGAGGAGAAGGAAGAUGAUGAACACCAAGGGUCACAAUUUGGGUUCCAAGAGGCUCCGGGCGGCCGGGACCUUGCUGGAGUCUGGGGGGGACCUCCAGCCCCCCGGGGGGUCCCUGCGCCUCCUCUGCCGCAGCUCCGGCUUCGAUUUCGGACAAUUUGGCAUGCACUGGAUCCGCCAGAGACCCGGGCAGACGCUGGAGUUCGUCGCCAGUAUCACCAAGGGUGGUUACACCUGGCUCGUCGAUUCGGUCGAGGGCCGGUUCAGGAUCUCCAGGGACAACGGGCAGAGCUCGGUGACGCUGACCAUGAGCAGCCUCCAGGACGAGGAUUCCGGAUCCUAUUUCUGUGCCAAAUCUGCUGAUGCUAAUAUUGCUGGCGCUGCUGUUGUCACUGCAUCACACAAAAAAUGA